CGAAUUUCUUAGGUGGUGCGGGUGGAAGUGGGAAUACUGCGGGGGGUGCAGGAGGCCAUGGUGGGUCUUCCAACACGCUGACGGGUGGGGCUGGUGGAGCCGGUGGGAUUCGGUCAGGAACAGGAACUGGUGGUCAUGGGGGUAAUGGUGGCGAUGGUCAUCCCGGUGGAGCCCCUGGAGCUGGUGGAGCACCGAACGGUCUUCCUGGAUCUGCUGGAAAUACACUUCCAUGAAUUUAGCAACUUAGUGUUCAUGACCCCAAUUGUUCUGAUUACAAGCCUCCACGAGGUUACAUAAACACAUAAGCACUAUUGAAAUGAAUAUUAUAUUUAAAUUAAUUACUACUUGAAUAAACUCAAUAUGAUUCAAAUUAA